AACGAACGCUGGCGGCAUGCCUAACACAUGCAAGUCGAACGAGAACUUCGGGUCUAGUGGAGCACGGGUGCGUAACGCGUGGGAACCUGCCCUUAGGUUCGGAAUAACUCCCCGAAAGGGGUGCUAAUACCGGAUAAUGUCUUCGGACCAAAGAUUUAUCGACUUUGGAUGGGCCCGCGUUGGAUUAGCUAGUUGGUAGGGUAAAAGCCUACCAAGGCGACGAUCCAUAGCUGGUCUGAGAGGAGGAUCAGCCACACUGGGACUGGGACACGGCCCAGACGCCUACGGGAGGCAGGAAGGGUGAAUAUAGGAGCAUGGGCCUAAUCCUGAACCAGCAAGGCCGCGUGAAUGAUGAUGGCCUUAGGGUUGUAAUGCUCUUUUACCCAGGAUUGUAAUGACAGUACCUGGAGAAUAAGCACCGGCUAACUCCGUG
rnacentral:rRNA from 1 species